AUUUCUUUAGUAUAUCAGUACAAAUGCCUUCCAAGCAUGAGGCCCCUCUCGGGAAGAGAUA
rnacentral:tRNA from 1 species